rnacentral:rRNA from 1 species
GAGUUUGAUCGUGGCUCAGAUUGAACGCUGGCGGCAGGCCUAACACAUGCAAGUCGAGCGGUAACAGGAAUCAGCUUGCUGAUUCGCUGACGAGCGGCGGACGGGUGAGUAAUGUCUGGGAAACUGCCUGAUGGAGGGGGAUAACUACUGGAAACGGUAGCUAAUACCGCAUAAUGUCUUCGGACCAAAGUGGGGGACCCUCGGGCCUCAUGCCAUCAGAUGUGCCCAGAUGGGAUUAGCUAGUAGGUGGGGUAACGGCUCACCUAGGCGACGAUCCCUAGCUGGUCUGAGAGGAUGACCAGCCACACUGGAACUGAGACACGGUCCAGACUCCUACGGGAGCAGCAGUGGGAAUAUUGCACAAUGGGCGCAAGCCUGAUGCAGCCAAUGCCGCGUGUAUGAAGAAGGCCUUC